rnacentral:other from 1 species
CAUUGGCGGAGACAACACAGUCGGAGAGAGUUGAGGCGUCUGGAGUGUGAGAGACCUGUAACCUCACUCCUCUCAGCUGAGACCUGUUGCUGGAUUGCCUGUGACUCUGGCUGUCUGCUGAGGAGAGCAAGUGGCCAACAGCUAGGGCAAGAUGAAGCUCUCUCUGAUGGCCACGGUUCUGCUG